ensembl:misc_RNA Metazoa_SRP Metazoan signal recognition particle RNA
GCUGGGCGCGGUGGCUCACGCCUGUAAUCCUAGCACUUUGGGAGGCUAAGGUGGGUGGAUCACCUAAGGUCAGGAGUUCAAAACGAGCCUGCCUGUCCAUCAAGGUGAAACCCCAUCUUUA